UUGGAUGGAAAAGCAAUAAAAGUAGAAUAAGCCAAGAAACCAUUUUCAAAGUGGUGGUUAGCAGAUACCACCACCUUCUUCAAGAAACAGAAGCCCUUCAGGAAGUCUGAGAUCUGCAAGAGGAAGUAGUGGAGGAACAGGAGGGUGUCUGCCCUCACAUGAAGGGCACUUGGAGAGAGAAUUAUGGAGGUCCUCCACUCGAGAAGCCAAUCACUUCAUGGAGAAAUGACCAUAUGUUGUCAAGAGAUGGUGGUUAUGGAA
rnacentral:lncRNA from 1 species